rnacentral:rRNA from 1 species
CGGCGGGACACGAGGAAUCCUGUCGGAAUCUACCAGGACCAUCUGGUAAGGCUAAAUACUCCUCUGUGACCGAUAGUGAACCAGUACCGUGAGGGAAAGGUGAAAAGAACCCCGGGAGGGGAGUGAAAGAGAACCUGAAACCAUAUGCCUACAAGAAGUCAGAGCCCGUUAAAGGGUGAUGGCGUGCCUUUUGUAGAAUGAACCGGCGAGUUACUGUAUGGAGCGAGGUUAAGCAGGAUAUGCGGAGCCGAAGCGAAAGCGAGUCUUAAGAGGGCGAAAGUUGCAUGCAGUAGACCCGAAACCGGGUGAUCUAGCCAUGACCAGGUUGAAGUUGGGGUAAAACCCGAUGGAGGACCGAACCGACCCCCGUUGAAACGUUGGCGGAUGAGUUGUGGCUAGGGGUGAAAUUCCAAUCGAACCCGGAGAUAGCUGGUUCUCCCCGAAAUAGCUUUAGGGCUAGCGUCGAGGUAGAGAGUUGCGUGAAGGUAGAGCACUGAAUAUGUGAUGGCCCCAUCUCGGGGUACUGAGCAUAAUCAAACUGCGAAUGUCACGGAAACAUACUCGGCAGUCAGACAGCGGGUGAUAAGGUCCGUUGUCAAGAGGGAAACAGCCCAGACCAUCAGCUAAGGUCCCAAAAUGUAUGCUAAGUGGAAAAGGAUGUGGAGAUGUACAGACAACUAGGAGGUUGGCUCAGAAGCAGCCAUCCUUUAAAGAGUGCGUAACAGCUCACUAGUCGAAUGACUCUGCGCCGAUAAUUUACCGGGGCUAAGCAUACUACCGAAGCUAUGGAUCCCAAGGGAUGGUAGGGGAGCGUUCCAUGAACGGAGAAGCGCGAUCGAGAGGACGCGUGGAGAUCAUGGAAGAGAGAAUGCCGGUGUGAGUAGCGGAACGUGGGUGAGAAUCCCACGCACCGAAAACCCAAGGUUUCCAGAGGAAGGUUCGUCCGCUCUGGGUAAGUCGGGACCUAAGGCGAGGCCGAGAGGCGUAGUCGAUGGACAACAGGUAGAGAUUCCUGUACCCGUAUAUAUGUGAAGGAAUGACGGAGAGAGGAAGCUGCAGCCAGCGGCUGGAAGAGCUGGUGCAAGCGAGAUAUCGGGAUGGCAGGCAAAUCCACCAUCCGAAACGAGAAGGCGUGAAGCGUACGGAAAGCUAAGGCGAGUACGGAAGGCAGUGGAGGAGCUUCCAAGAAAAGUUUCUAACGAAAGUAUAUGUGACCCGUACCGAAAAUGGACACACAUGGGUGAGGAGAGAAUCCUAAGGUGAGCGAGAGAACUAUAGCUAAGGAACUCUGCAAAAUGACUCCGUAACUUAGGGAGAAGGAGUGCUCAUAGAGAUAUGAGCCGCAGUGAAACGGCCCAAGCGACUGUUUACCAAAAACACAGCUCUCUGCUAAGCCGCAAGGCGAAGUAUAGGGGGUGACGCCUGCCCGGUGCUGGAAGGUUAAGGGGAGGGGUUAACGCAAGUGAAGCCCUGAACUGAAGCCCCAGUAAACGGCGGCCGUAACUAUAACGGUCCUAAGGUAGCGAAAUUCCUUGUCAGGU